AGGUAUUUCCAUAUAUACACUAUGUUUACAGAAUUGCGGCCGGUGAAGCAACAUAGCUGAUGAGUAAAUAGCGCUAGUUCUUCAGACAAAUAACUUUAUUUUCAACCUAUAAAGCAUAUUUAGCUGUAGGUGGGGCCAUUUAGCUGUAAGAUCUGGCUUUGGUUCUGUUAAGCCCUUAGAGUAAUGAAUUUCAGAGUGAAGACCAUAGCGCCUUUUCCUAGUCGAGUAUCGGGCAGCUGUAUGUCUUUUCAGAAAUGCACAUGUCUUCUUUAGUAUGUCAUUGUGAUUGCUUUUAAGAUAGGCAAUAAACUCAUAACCUUUAGAAAAAGGAGCAUCUGUAAAUUCAGAUUUCACUAUUUCAGAGUCAGCCAGACCAUGAUUGAGCUUAAGGAUUGUGCUGCGGAUGCGGCCUGUGCAGUUCCGGGAGAAAGUCACUGUCUUGGGCAUUGCGGUCUGGUAUCAGGUCUGGAUGAUCCUUGCCUGACUCCGGGUUUGUGUACACCUCAAUCCGACUCCCUGUCCGGUACCAUGGCCGCAGUGGUGCAGCCCUUGUGGACGAUCCAUCGACAUCCUGAAAGGUCAACACUUCACCAAGCUGGGAAAAUUGAUCCUGAUAGUCAUCCCCAGGUAGUGAAAUGAAUGUACACUGAACUACAGAGGAAUCACACCCAAAUGACUUUUCUGACAUUAGUGUGGCCCCUUGGGCAGGAAUUCCUUAGCAAACAUGCUUUUUUGCAUGGGGACUGUGGCAUUUUUGCAAAACUUAAGCUUUCAACGCUGGAUUUUAAAGAGAACACUUAAUAAAAUGAAGCCAACAGGACUUAUUUUAAUGAGAGAGACUAUCUGGAUGAGCAACAAAUGUCACAUUGUGUCGUAAGCUGUUGAAGGAGCGAUUUGCGCCAUUUCAAGUGUUAAUUUUGGGUAGCAGGCUUGUAUCGGCUUGAAAGCUGCAAAUUAUUCCUCUCAUCAUGAUAGCAUUAAUUAUUUUAAUUGCAAUGUGUAUGUUUAGAUUGUAAGUGAAGCUUUUAAUAAUAAUUUUCUUGAAAAACAUGA